rnacentral:rRNA from 1 species
GACGAACGCUGGCGGCGUGCUUAACACAUGCAAGUCGAACGGAAAGGCCCCCUUGUGGGGUACUCGAGUGGCGAACGGGUGAGUAACACGUGAGUAACCUACCCUUGACUUUGGGAUAACUUCAGGAAACUGGGGCUAAUACCGGAUAGGAGCUCCUGCUGCAUGGUGGGGGUUGGAAAGUUUCGGCGGUUGGGGAUGGACUCGCGGCUUAUCAGCUUGUUGGUGGGGUAGUGGCUCACCAAGGCUUUGACGGGUAGCCGGGCUGAGAGGGUGACCGGCCACAUUGGGACUGAGAUACGGCCCAGACUGCUACGGGAGGCAGCAGUGGGGAAUAUUGCACAAUGGGCGGAAGCGUGAUGCAGAAAAGCAGCGUGCGGGAUGACGGCCUUCGGGUUGUAAAACGCUUUCGACUGUGACGAAGCGUGAGUGACGGUAAUGGGUAAAGAAGCACCGGCUAACUACGUG